rnacentral:rRNA from 1 species
AGUUGGGCACUUUAAUGAGACUGCCGGUGACAAACCGGAGGAAGGUGGGGAUGACGUCAAGUCCUCAUGGCCCUUAUGGGUAGGGCUUCACACGUCAUACAAUGGUCGGUCCAGAGGGUUGCCAACCCGCGAGGGGGAGCCAAUCUCAGAAAGCCGAUCGUAGUCCGGAUCGCAGUCUGCAACUCGACUGCGUGAAGUCGGAAUCGCUAGUAAUCGCGGAUCAGCAUGCCGCGGUGAAUACGUUCCCGGGUCUUGUACACACCGCCCGUCACACCAUGGGAGCGGGUUCUGCCAGAAGUAGUUAGCCUAACCGCAAGGAGGGCGAUUACCACGGCAGGGUUCGUGACUGGGGUGAAGUCGUAACAAGGUAGCCGUAGGGGAACCUGC